AAGCAGAUCGAGUUUGGAACUUGGAAAAAAAUAAAAAAAUUAUGGUGGAACUCAACGGGGAUGGACAAGGAAGUGAUAAUGGUUCAAACUUGCUUGUUAGAUUUCUUGGAAAACUUUCACAAAAGUCAAUAAUUUGUCCAAUAUCAGUUGAGAGAUGGGAUAGAAUGCCAGACGCGAAAAAUCGCCUACAGUGGCAGCUUAUUGAGGAGAAUUUUGAGUUUGAUUAUGCUGUUGGAAUUAAAUGGGUGAUGCAUACUUUACGCGAUAGAUGGAGGGCCUAUAAAUAUACAUUAAGAAAUAAAACCUUCUACCCUAACAAAAGUAAGUAAGAGAUACUUGCUAAUCCUCCGGAAUACGUGGAUUCUAUUGAGUGGGCUGCUUUUGUGCAUCACUAUCAAGAAGAGAAGAUGAAGAAACAAAGUGAACAAAAUACAAGAAAUCGAAGUACACUUAAAGUCCCGCAUGCCGGUGGUAGCAAAAGCAAUGCAAGGAGAGGUCGUCAAAUGG